UAAAAAAUUUUGGCGGUAUUUUAAGCUUAUUAGAGGAAUUUGCUCUGUGAUGGACACAACGCCUUAAUCUUACUUAAUUUAGUAAUUUAAAUCAGUUUGUAUACCACUAUAUUAAUUAUAUUGAAUAGUUAUAUUUAAAAUUUUUUAAAAAAAAAUAUAUUAAGUCAAGGUGCAUCUAAUAAUUAUGAAUGAAGUGAAUUACAUUAAUUUUAAUGUAAUUUUUUACAUGAAAAAAUUAAUUAGGAUUUAAUAGUAAAAUACUAAUAUUAUGAGUAUUUGAAUCAAGCUCUAAAAUAUGCACAUAUCGCCCGUCGCUCUCAGAAGUGAGAUAAGUCGUAACAAAGUAAAAAUACUGGAAAGUGUUUUUUAAAAUGAAAUCAUUCGAUGUUUCAUUUACAAUGAAAAUUUUGUUAUUUAACCAUUUUAA
rnacentral:rRNA from 1 species